AGCCAGUGUGGUGCAGGGGUUAGAGUGUCGGUCUAGGACUCGGGAGACCAGGGUUCAAAUCCCCACUUGGUUA